GAAAACUUGUUCACCUUAGCCUCUAAGGAUAGAACAAGAAGCAAUGGGUUUANNNNNNNNNNGUACUAGUCGACGAGCGAGGGACUGGACUCGAUGACCUCUCGAGGUCCCUUCCAGUCCUAGAAUCUAUGAAUCUAUGAAUCUUUUCUAGCAACCAGAAGCAGCUGAUAUUGUCUCCUCAGUUGGCAACUGCAAUUGUCAGGUUUGCUUUUUAUAGCGGUCCCAAGAAUGGUACAUCUUUUCAGAGAGAAAUAUAGGCUAGUUCAUUUCCCCACAUAACAUCUGAAUAAUGCAAACAUAGUCCAAGAAAUCAAAAGGCUUCUAACUAUAGCGAACAGAAACAACACUAAAGAGGUAUUAUAACUACGCAGUUUCUUUUUCUGCUGCUGCAGUGAUGAUCAUGAUGGAGGGUAUUGUCUUAGCUGGCUUCUUUCUCUUGUGUCCACAACAGCUCUUGGAUAUGAUCCAUUCCACCUGGUAUCACAGUCUGAGCCAUGCUGGAGAACAUGAGAGAAAGAAGGAGGUGCAUCUUUCCAGUGACAGUGUCUGAGGAGUCUCGGAGCAGACAUAAUGACUCCAGUGACUCUGUACCACCCAAGAAUCCCACUCUGCUGUGGGAGUUCUUCCCUGGCUGGAUUUACAAGGCCCUGAGCCAGAUAUAAGCAGCUCCCACAGACAAGCAAACUGAGGUACACAGCUAUCAAAUGUAAGCAGUAUUGUGGUUGCCCACUUUAGUUCUCUCUUCUUCCCUGUCAGAAAAUUAAGAACUGCAAAAUGUUAAGGACCCUCAACACCCAGGUGUAAGAAGGUUUGGUCCCUAAAAUUUUAAUUUGCUAAUGUAACAUGUUGCAGUGUGAAAUAUCACAGAAGUUCCAGAGGGAACACAAAGUUUUGAAUCUUAUUAGUCUUUGUAUUACAUUAGUGCUCAAAUCAGAAUUGUGGUCCCAUUGUGCCAUGAGUUGUGUAAACAUAAAUGAAGCAUUAUCCCUGCUCUGAAUAAUUUACUCUCUAAAUAGAAAGGACAGAAACAGAAAAACUCUUCCACUGACUUUGCCUCAAGGAAUUUUUUCACAACCCACAACCACCACAUCCCCAUCAACAAUCAUAAAAAAAAUAGAAUCAGCUGACUGGAUGCCCCCAGCAGACAAAACCCCACACUGGAUCAGUACAUCAAUUGCUUCAGGAAAAUAAUCAACUGUGAAAGCCUCAACAAAUGUUACAUCCAUAACAAUCUCUCCACCCCCGAGAGGACAACUAUUCAGUACUAAAAAAAUCCAGUCAUCAGAGAGUGAUCAAAAUAGCAGACAAAGGGGAUGCCAUCAUAGUAGUUAAUCAUGAUGACUACAACAACAAAGCCAACAGACAACUCUCGAACACAAGCUACUACAGUAAAAGCUUUCUUAUCUGGCAUGUUGU
rnacentral:lncRNA from 1 species